rnacentral:rRNA from 1 species
UAGGGAGUCUUGGACAAUGGGGGAAACCCUGAUCCAGCCAUGCCGCGUGAGUGAUGAAGGCCUUCGGGUUGUAAAACUCUUUCGGCGGGGACGAUAAUGACGGUACCCGCAGAAGAAGCUCCGGCUAACUUCGUG